rnacentral:rRNA from 1 species
UGCCAGCAUUCAGUUGGGCACUCUAAGGUGACUGCCGGCUAAAAAGUCGGAGGAAGGUGGGGAUGACGUCAAAUCAUCAUGCCCCUUAUGACCUGGGCUACACACGUGCUACAAUGGGCGGUACAAAGGGUCGCGAACCCGCGAGGGGGAGCCAAUCCCAAAAAGCCGCUCUCAGUUCGGAUUGCAGGCUGCAACUCGCCUGCAUGAAGCCGGAAUCGCUAGUAAUCGCGGAUCAGCAUGCCGCGGUGAAUACGUUCCCGGGCCUU